rnacentral:lncRNA from 1 species
AUGGCUUUCCUGCCUUCUUCUGUUCUCUCUAGUGAUUUUACAGGACCCCUCCCAACCAUCUUGGAUUCCCGUUAUUGUGCAGUUGUAUGGGCACCCCCUGGUCUGCCACCCACGCUUCAGGAGUUGAAUGGGUGUUUGUCCCUGUGUUGGACUGGAGACCUGUCCAGGGUGUUCCCCGCCCCUCGCCUGGCGACGGCUGGAGAGAGCAGCCCCUACGGCCCCCUAGUGAGGAUUAAGCAGCUUUGCAUCCCCAGAGACCGACGAAGACUCCAAGUGCAAACUGUCUCCACUUGGCUGAGAGCAGCCAAAAGACUGAAGCCUGCCUCUGAAGGACCCAGGGCUGUCUGUGCAAGUGCCAGAGCCACGCUGCCCAAAGUGCCAUACUGCAUACGCUGUGCUCAGCUUGCGGAGCACCAACAGCUUGCGGAGCACCAACAGCCUGAUGGGAAGUACACAGAAAUCAGGUGUGUAGAACGAUGA